rnacentral:rRNA from 1 species
AGAUUGAACGCUGGCGGCAGGCCUAACACAUGCAAGUCGAGCAGCAGCACGGGUACUUGUACCUGGUGGCGAGCGGCGGACGGGUGAGUAAUGCCUAGGAAUCUGCCUGGUAGUGGGGGAUAACGCUCGGAAACGGACGCUAAUACCGCAUACGUCCUACGGGAGAAAGCAGGGGACCUUCGGGCCUUGCGCUAUCAGAUGAGCCUAGGUCGGAUUAGCUAGUUGGUGAGGUAAUGGCUCACCAAGGCGACGAUCCGUAACUGGUCUGAGAGGAUGAUCAGUCACACUGGAACUGAGACACGGUCCAGACUCCUACGGGAGCAGCAGCAGGGAAUAGUUGGACAAGUGGGGGACAA